rnacentral:lncRNA from 1 species
GUGCAAUAACAACAAAGAUUUUUUUCUCAAAAACUCUGCACCUACGACACUAAACAAAAACUGGACAGCAGAGAAAAAAAAAUUAUAUAGAUAUUCAAAGUUAAAAUAAAUCCUCGCAACAUUUUUUUUCACUUUUCCUACUUUUCUUACUUUCUUUAAUCUUAAUAAACCACUUCCAAUGUUCAACUACCCAAUCAAAAUGCUCCCAGCUUUAUAACCCUGCACUCAUUCUAAUUAAUAUCAAUCAUACACCAAUUGUAUUCCAAAAGUUAACUUACCAACCCAUUCACUUGGUAAUUUCCCAAUGCUUCAUACAAUUAUAUCACCUUUACUAAAAUAAUUCCAUACCCUUAAUAUCAUCAUAUACCAUGUUAUAUACCAACCAAUUCAAUAUCCAUUCAAAUACAUGUCAAUUCUUAAAUUUCAUAACAGAGCAUACAUCAUUUAUAUAAUCCAUCCAACAUUAAUUCUUGAAACUUUCUUCAUACGUACACCAACUUCCACAACAUAUUUAACCAUUAAAAUAUAAUCACAAUCUCAUUCAAAUUCUCUAAACAAUGCACUCAAAAUC